CCCUUAGAUGUUCUGGGCUGCACGCGCGCUACACUGUCGGAUUCAGCGAGUCAUAUCCUUAACCGAAAGGUUUGGGUAAUCUUUUGAAGGUCCGACGUGAUGGGGAUUGAUCAUUGUAAUUAUUGAUCAUGAACGAGGAAUUCCUAGUAAGCGCGAGUCAUCAGCUCGCGUUGAUUACGUCCCUGCCCUUUGUACACACCGCCCGUCGCUACUACCGAUUGAAUGGUUUAGUGAGAUCUUCGGAUUGGCGCCUACGCGGCUUCUCUGAGGCCACGCUGGAUGCCGAAAAGUUGCUCAAACUGUAUCAUUUAGAGGAAGUAAAAGUCGUAACA
rnacentral:rRNA from 1 species